rnacentral:lncRNA from 1 species
CUGGGUCCAGCUUCCAGGUAAUGUAACAGUCCUGCCUUGGCCCUGCCCACAAGGGGCAUUGUGACAUAUUGCUGAGCCCAGUACCUAGGUGAUAUGACUCUCCUGAAUUGCCCCUGCACUCAGGGGAGACUUUUGACCCUGCCCAAAGUGGCAAUUGUGACAUAUCUUUGGCCAGCACCCAGGAGAUCCAAACUUUGUUCCUGGUCUCUCUCCACAGUUGGAAUUGGGAACUACACAUGGGCACAGCUUACAGGUGGAAUGAUGACUCACACCUGAAGAUAUUUUGACCUUUGUAGUCUUAGGGCAAAAACUAAGGUCCUGUGUCUUCAACUUGUAGGAUGGUCACGGAAUAUUACAACUUGCAUGCACGUUGAAUGAAGCCCUCAAAUGCUACAAAGAGUGCCAAAAUAGAGCCCAGCUAAAACUGUGGUAAAACUGUGGCUGUUGUAUGCAAACUCAAAUAAAACUGGAUCCAGGUAUGAGAGUCAUCAUCUCACCUGUGAGCUGUGACCAUGUAUAUGUCGCAAUUUCACCUGUCAUCAGGAAGCAGACAUGAGAGUCCUAUCACCUGGGUGCUGGACGAAGUUUCGCUCUUGUUUCCCAGGCCGGAGCACAAUGGUGUGAUCUCGACUCACUGCAACCUCCGCCUCCCGGAUUCAAGCGAUUCUCCUGCCUCAGCCUGCCGAGUAGCUGGGAUUACAGAUGAAAAAAGAUGCAAAGAAGACAUAUUUGCUUUUUAUCCACACAUCAUUUCCAAUCACUAUGCUGAGCAAAGUCAAUGUGAGCAGAGCUGAGAAUAGCAGUUUUCUGGCAGGACGGCCACUUCUGAGCAAAAAAUGACACAAUAAAAGUAUAAAUAUUUAAUAGUAAGCUAAUAUAUUUUCAGCAAAUUAAGCA